GUCCACUCGACUCGUGUCCUCCUCACUUCCUCGCUAUGAAGACGCCGUCGUCACUGCUGCGUACGGCGAAACAAGCUAGUUGUGCGAUGUUUGCUUGCUUGGACCAACAACGGGCAAUCCGCUUCCCCCUUCCGCCCGCUACGAUGGCUGGCCGUGUCUCUAGCUUUUAUCUUCGUCACAUAUACAGUCAUGCAUUUGUCUUUGCUCUAGAUAAGCACGCGGUUGGAUUUCUUUCGGUCCAGAUAGAGAGAUAUAUAUCGUCGUGAAUAUAAAGUGGGAACAAGGCAACAACGGUCGCUUUCCGAUGAGUUUUUUUUUCUUGCUAAAUUAUUAAAUGCUCUGCACUGCACUCAGGAGGAGGAUCUAUCGGCCCUAGCACGUUCUAGCAAUGUAACAGUACAUGUGUGCGCCCAAUAUAUUUUAUCCAAAAUAAUUAUGGUCAAAUA